GAUGAACGCUAGCUACAGGCUUAACACAUGCAAGUCGAGGGACCGGCGCACGGGUGUGUAACCCGUAUCCAACCCGCCCUUUACUAGGGGAUAGCCUUUCGAAAGAACGAUUAAUACCCGAUAUAAUGGAUGGGGAUGCGUUCCAUUAGGUUGUUGGGGAGGUACCAGCUCACCAAGCCUUCGAUGGAUAGGGGUUCGGAGAGGAAGGGCCCCUGCAUUUGAACUGAGGCCCGGUCCAAACUCCGAGGGGCGGCUGCGGAAAGGAAUAUUGGGCAAUGAGCGCUAGCCUGGACCAGCCGAGUGGCGUGAAGGAUUCAGGCUUUGGGGUCGUAAUCUUCUUGUAUAUAAGAAUAUGUAUUAGAUGAAUAAGGAUCGGCUAACUCCGUGCCAGCCGCCGCGGUAAUAC
rnacentral:rRNA from 1 species